UCUCCUACGGGAGGCAGCAGUGGGGGAUAUUGCACAAUGGGGGAAACCCUGAUGCAGCGACGCCGCGUGAGUGAAGAAGUAUUUCGGUAUGUAAAGCUCUAUCAGCAGGAAAGAUAAUGACGGUACCUGACUAAGAAGCACCGGCUAAAUACGUGCCAGCCGCCGCGGUA
rnacentral:rRNA from 1 species